UACGAGGGGGGCAAGCGUUGUUCGGAAUUACUGGGCGUAAAGCGUGCGCAGGCGGUUAUGCAAGACAGAUGUGAAAUCCCCGGGCUCAACCUGGGAACUGCAUUUGUGACUGCAUGGCUGGAGUGCGGCAGAGGGGGAUGGAAUUCCGCGUGUAGCAGUGAAAUGCGUAGAUAUGCGGAGGAACACCGAUGGCGAAGGCAAUCCCCUGGGCCUGCACUGACGCUCAUGCACGAAAGCGUGGGGAGCAAACAGG
rnacentral:rRNA from 1 species